AGGAGGAACAACCGCAGUGGCGGGGCCAGCUCUGGAGCCCUGGAGUCAGCUCCCCCAGUAGCUCCAGAGCUCUCCGUCUGCAGGGCCUGGAGGCUCCGGGGCGGG
rfam:Canis lupus familiaris chromosome 27, whole genome shotgun sequence.